AGGUGCGAUCAUACCAGCACUAAUGCACCGGAUCCCAUCAGUUAAGCGUGCUUGGGCGAGAGCAGUACUAGGAUGGGUGACCUCCUUGGAAGUCCUGUUGUUGCACCUC
rfam:Lupinus angustifolius cultivar Tanjil contig_23389, whole genome shotgun sequence.